CAUCUAUAGUGAUUGGUGAAAUGGUCCCAGUAAUUGAGAUGAUGGACUUUUUUCUCAUGCGUGUUAUGCAUAGCUUCAUGUUUUUACUUAAUCCUUUUUUUUUCUUCCAAUAUAAAGCUUUAAAAUAUCAAUGGCCGUGACAUCAACAUGAUAAACCAAUUCGUGACAAAACAAUCAUGAUGUGCAUCCACAUGUAAUGCAAAAUUGAUUACAGUGAUUUUUAAAGUUGCACAUGAAAUAAUAUUUGGCAUGUCUAAUGGGGAACAUUAGCAGCUACAAGCAAUUAGAGUGCACCCAGUGGCACUACUGGAUGACGUAAAAGUACCAAAAGAAAAGUUAGAAUCAAAAGCAUGAAAUUUGAAAAUGGAAGAAGCUUUUCAUUUAUUAUUCAGCUUUUGCAUUUCUAGAGAUGAUCUAGCUCAGCAUCUACCUUUCCAUAUUCACGAGUUUCUUCUUAACAGGAUUGUCAUUUUUGUAUUUAUGAAUGUUGUUGGCGUGUGUUUACCUUUGCAACAGAUGCAUGUAUCGUAGUGACUUUUACAAACCUGAAAUUUAUGAAUUCCAGAUUGAUAAAUCUGUUAUACAGAGUUUUAUAUAAGCUCUGUUUUUCCUCUUUCUGUAAUAAUAAGUUCCAUCCCUUUGCCUUUCGAUGCCGGUAUAAUGUCUAUAUUUAAACCAAUUUUUAUUAGAAUUAAGAAAGAACUCGUUCUAACUUUAUCUCAAACUCAAAAGUUAGGUUCAUGUACUUUCCCAUGUAGUUAAGGUUUGAACACUAGCGAUUAGGCCAUUCUUAGACCUUACUAGAAUUGAGAACAAACCUAACUCAUUGCACAAGAGGAUUGGAAAAGUCAUACGUAAUAAAUGGUAUUUUGCUCAUAUACCAAGUUAUGAUAGUUCGGUGUAGGAUGUUAACAUUACCAGCUUUGAACUUGAACCAACCAAGCUUUUAAGUGAACCUGUACCAAAUAUAAAUAUAAUUGGACAUCUGAGACAGAUUUUCACAUAGAUUAAGCAACUGAGGUGGUCUACAAUGUCAGAACCCACAAGUCACAAUCCAGUGGCGUCCAAUGCUAAAACUCAGAAAAUUCUGCAAUAGCCCAAAACUUCAUCAUUUCUCUUUUAUUAAAGGCUUGAUGGUACUAAAGAGCGGAGAUGGGGGGACCGGAUUAUUAAGUGCAUAAAGGGAUCGAUUCAGAAUUGUGCUGCGCAAGUCUCCCACAUUAAUGAGCUGGUUUCGCUUGUCCACACAUAAGAGUUUCUCGUCAUCGCUGGAGUUG
rnacentral:sRNA from 1 species